AUUGAACGCUGGCGGCAGGCCUAACACAUGCAAGUCGAACGGUAACAGGAAACAGCUUGCUGUUUCGCUGACGAGUGGCGGACGGGUGAGUAAUGUCUGGGAAACUGCCUGAUGGAGGGGGAUAACUACUGGAAACGGUAGCUAAUACCGCAUAACGUCGCAAGACCAAAGAGGGGGACCUUCGGGCCUCUUGCCAUCGGAUGUGCCCAGAUGGGAUUAGCUAGUAGGUGGGGUAACGGCUCACCUAGGCGACGAUCCCUAGCUGGUCUGAGAGGAUGACCAGCCACACUGGAACUGAGACACGGUCCAGACUCCUACGGGAGGCAGCAGUGGGGAAUAUUGCACAAUGGGCGCAAGCCUGAUGCAGCCAUGCCGCGUGUAUGAAGGAGGCCUUCGGGUUGUAAAGUACUUUCAGCGGGGAGGAAGGGAGUAAAGUUAAUACCUUUACUCAUUGACGUUACCCGCAGAAGAAGCACCGGCUAACUCCGUG
rnacentral:rRNA from 1 species